rnacentral:piRNA from 1 species
UUAGGAAUUUAGUCUGCUUAGGUGA